GGGACUAAAGGUGUCUCCAUGGACGAGCUUGGGACUAAAGCCCGGGUCAAAAAAUAACCGAGAUUUUUGUUGAGGGUGGAAGGUUAUUUUUCUACUAGUGGGAAGUAGUCGAUCACGAUCGUCUCCUCCUCGCCCUCGCACUAGCAGCCGCGUCGCGCCCCGUAGCCGAUCAGCACAGCGGCAAUAGCAGUAGCGCCUCCAUGGAGUCCACACGUAAAGGGAAGGAACGUUGUGCGCUGGUCUGCUAGCACCGCGGGCUGGUCAGGGUCUCGGGUCAGGUCGAGAGGAGAUGGCAGCUAAGGUUGUGGCAUGGUGGGAUGUGGCGCCCCUAGCCCCUCCCCG
rnacentral:lncRNA from 1 species